GGAGUUGUGGCUCAGAGGUAGAGUGCUCGCCUAGCAUGCGAGAGGCACUGGGUUCGAUCCUCAGUACCA
rnacentral:tRNA from 1 species